CCCAUAGGUCUUGGAUUUUUCUUAUCCUUGAGCUGGAGGUGGCAGGAUGGGAGGUAAAGUGUAGAAAGGGUUGCUUAACCAUUUUUUAUGUCCUUGCUGCGAUCUGACUAGUGGGGGAUUCCUCUUCUGAGAAGAAUGCUUUUUUUAAAUGAACAAAUAAAAUACAAAGAGAUCUAUCUUUAAAGCUAUGAUUUCCCACCACAACCCCACCCCAAGUUUAAGGACUCCAUGAAAUCUAUCCAUGGACCUCUGGGGAGAGGGAGAAGGUUUUGGAUUUCAGGUUAAAAACCCUUGCAGCAAGUAAUAGAGAAGUAACUGCGAUGCCCAUUCCUGUUUCUGGAGCCCUCCAGGCAUCUAUCCGUUGUCCAAAUUUAUAAGAUCAAGCCUAGACACACGGGAGGAGAUUUGUGAAAAAGUUCCAGUGCCCUCUGAGGAAUGGAGCUAGACAUGAAAAACAAGGGAGGGGGCAGUGGCUUAGACAUCUUCCAGGUUGAUGUAAAAAUUUGCCUAAGGAUAUUUUUGUGUGUGCUUCCGCUGCAUAUGAAGCCUCUUCAUCAGAUAAGAAAGGUUCUAGCAUAAUAUUUCUUUAUCUUGUCCCUUUUUCGCCCCGCCCCCCUCCACCUCCAGGCUUCCAUUCUUCCAUUUCUCUUAAACUCUCCCGCCUAAUGUCUUCUGGGACAAAAUUUACAAAUCAGGCUAUUUGGUAAAGAUACAGAAGUAGCUGAGUAGUGAAAUCGACCAAGAUUUCAUUCAUCAUUCUAGAAAGAAUCUUCAUCUUCUGCCGUUUCCCUCUCUCCUACCUACCUUUUUGUUUCCCUUUAUUUCUCCACACAAUCACCGCCUGUUACACCGUAUUUUACAAAUGAGGGAACUGAGGCUCGGAGAAAGGAAGUAGCCUGCCCAAGGUCACACCACAAUGACCUCAGGUCUCUUGCCUCCAAGGGCAGUGUUUUUCUCUACUAUUCCCUUCACCUUUUUGCAGCCUUUUUCUUGUUACAAGGGGAAGGACUUCUGGUUAGAGGGAUGAAAGAGGUUGAGAAGUGAGGAGAGGGAGGUGAAUCUCACCUUCCAAUUAAGGACCUCACCAAACUUCCACUCCCAAGAGGAAGCAAAAGUUGGAAUUAUUGACUUUUAUUGCCUUACAACGGGAUGAGAAGAGGGCUAAACUGAUCGGGAAAGCUUACAUGGAAUUUUGCUGUUUAAAGACUAGGAAAGCUAAUUUCUUCCAGUUGGGUGAAGUCAGGAAGCUGGAUGGCCGGAUUAAGGGUGUGACGGGCCCAGAGAGUCAGGUCAGGAAUAACUCACCUCCAAGAAACUCAUGGGACACAUGCCUUAAAGAAAAAUGAUGGGGGGACUUCUGGCCAAGAUGGCAGAGAGGACACACACAUCUACUCAAGCUCUGCAUUUUCUCUCAGAAUUUAUUUCAUGACAAGCCUCGGAAUCAAUGCUUGACUGGAAAAAAAAAAAAAAAGCACAAAUAAUUACCAAGAGAAGACAUCCUUGAAAUUCGCCAGAAAAGGUUUGUUUUUGCUCAAGGGUGGGGACGGUUUUAGAUUGGGUGCAGGCUGAGGGCAGGCAGCUGCAGUGAGAGCACUACAGGCAGCUCACAGCUGAGCAGACCAGAGUGGAGUAGGGUGUAAUCUCAGCCAUCAUUGCAGGGAGAGUUUUACUACAGUAUUAGAUACUAUGCCCUGGCAGCAAGCCAGUAGACAAGCAGAGAAGCUAAAAACACAAUGGGUAAAGAGACCCCAAAAAGCUAGGGUCUCUUGGGACCUGGCCACACCCACCCACAGUGUCUCAACAUGCUCUCAGAGUUUCAGAGCACAGGCGCAGCACAACCAUUGCUGUCCUGCUAGUGCCUCGCUGCUGCCCCCUGCAGUCCAUAGAGUAAGCUCGACCACUCCCCCCAAAAAGCAGACCAUUUAUUUUUCUUGUUAGUUUGUUUUCUUUAACUCUUCUUUGACAAAAUGAGCAAAAAAUUCUCUCAGAAUUAGAUAAAUCAAACCACAAAAUAAUAAGAAAGAUGUCAAAGAGGUAAACAAAAUACUAGAAAAGUUAGAUAUGAUAGAUCUUUGGAGAAAACUAAAUGAAGACAGAAAGGAGUACACUUUCUUUUCAGCAGUUCAUGGAACCUAUCAAACAUUGACCAUAUAUUAGGACAUAAAAACCUCAGACUCAAAUGCAGUAAGGCAGAAAUAGUAAAUGCAUUCUUUUCAGACCACAAUGCAAUGAAAAUUACAUUCAAUAAAACGCCAGGGGAAAAUAGACCAAAAAAUAAUUAGAAACUAAAUAAUCUCAUACUAAAGAAGAUUGGGUGAAACAGCAAAUCAUAGACAUAAUUAAUAACUUCACCCAAGAAAAUAACAAUAAUGAGACCUCAUACCAAAAUUUGUAGGAUGCAGCCAAAGUGGUAAUAAGGGGAAAUUUCAUAUCUCUAGAGGCCUACUUGCAUAAAAUAAAGAGAAGAUCAAUGAAUUGGGUUUGCAACUAAAAAUGCUAGAAAAGGAACAAAUUAAAACCCCCCAGUCAAACACUAAAUUUGAAAUUCUAAAAAUAAAAGGAGAGAUCAAUAAAAUUGAAAGUAAAAAAUUAUUGAAUUAAUUACUAAAACUGAGUUGGUUCUAUGAAAAAAACAACAAAAUAUACAAACCCUUAGUAAAUCUGAUUAAAAAAAGGAAAGAGGAAAAUCAGAUUGUUAGUCUUAAAAAUGAAAAGGGAGAACUCGCCACUAAUGAAGAGGAAAUUAGAGCAAUAAUUAAGAGUUACUCUGCCCAACUUUAUGCCAAUAAAUUUAAUAACUUAGAUGAAAUAGAAGAAUACCUUCAAAAAUAUAGCUUGCCCAGAUUAACAGAGGAAGAAGUAAAUAGACUAAACAGUCCCAUUUUAGAAAAAGAAAUAGAAUGAGCUAUUAACCAACAACUUAAGAAAAAAAUCCCCAGGACCAGAUGGAUUUACAUGUGAAUUCUACCAAACAUUUAAAGAACAAUUAACUCCAAUGCCAUAUAAACUAUUAUUUAAAAUAGGGAUUGAAGGAGUACUACCAAAUUCCUUUUAUGACACAGACAUAGUACUGAUAUCUAAACCAGGUAGGUUGAAAACAGAGAAAGAAAAUUAUAGACCAAUUUCCCUAAUGAAUACUGAUGCUAAAAUCUUAAAUAAAAUAUUAGCUAAAAGAUUACAGAAAAUCAUCCCCAUAAUAAUACAUUAUGACCAACUAAGUUUUAUACCAGGAAUGCAGAGCUAGUUCAAUAUUAGGAAAACUAUUAGCAUAAUUGACUAUAUCAAUAACCAACUUAACAAAAACCAUAUCUCAAUAGAUGCAGAAAAAGCAUUUGAUAAAAUUCAACAUCCAUUCCUAAUAAAAACACUUGAGAGGAUAGGAAUAAAUGGACUUUUCCUUAAAAUAGUCAGGAACAUAUAUUUAAAACCAUCCGUAAGCAUCAUAUGCAAUGGGGGAAAACUGGAAUCUUUCCCAGUAAGAUCAGGAGUGAAACAAGGUUGCCCACUAUCACCAUUAUAAUUCAAUAUUAUAUAAAAAGCUAUUAGAAAUAAUGCAUAACUUUAGCAAAGUUGCAGGAUACAAAAUAAAUCCACAUAAAUCCUCAGCAUUUUUAUACAUCACCAACAAAAUCCAACAGCAAGAGAUACAAAGAGAAAUUCCAUUCAAAAUAACCAUCGAUAGCAUAAAAUAUUUGGAAAUCUAUCUACCAAAGGAAAGUUAGGAAUCAUAUGGGCAAAAUUACAAAACACUUUCACACAAAUAAAGUCAGAUUUUAAAAAUUGGAAAAAUAUUAAGUGCUCUUGGACAGGCCGAGCGAAUAUAAUAAAGAUGAUAAUACUACCUAGCCUAAUCUAUAGUGCUAUACCAAUCAGACUCCCAAGAAAUUAUUUUAAUGAUCUAGAAAAAUUAACAACAAAAUUCAUAUGGAAGAACAAAACAUCGAGAAUCUCAAGGGAAUUAAUGGGAAAAAAAAUCAAAUGAAGGUGGCCUAGCUGUAUUUGAUCUAAAACUAUCUAAAACUAUAUUAUAAAGCAAAAUCAUUUGGUAUUGGCCAAGAAAUAGAUUAGCUGAUCAGUGGAAUAGGGUAGGUUCACAAGACAAAAUAGACAAUAACUAUAGCAAUCUAGUGUUUGACAAACCCAAAGAUCCCAACUUUUGGUAUAAGAAUUCAUUAUUUGACAAAAAUUGCUUAGAAAACUGGAAAUUCAUAUGGCAGAAAUUAGGCAUGGACCCACACUUAAUAUCGUACACCAAGAUAAGAUCAAAAUGGAUCCAUGAUUUAGGCAUAAAAAACAAAAUUAUAAAUAAAUUAGAGGAACAUAGGAUAGAUUACCUCUCAGAUUUGUGGGGGAAGAAGGAAUUUGUGACCAAAGAUGAACUAGAGACCAUUGUUGAUCACAAAAUAGAAAAUUUUAAUUAUAUCAAAUUAAAAAGCCUUUGUACAAACAAAAUUAAUGCAAACAAGAUUAGAAGGGAAGCAACAAACUGGGAAAACAUUUUCACAGUUAAAGGUUCGGAUAAAGGCCCCAUUUCCAAAAUAUAUAGAGAAUUAACUCUAAUUUAUAAGAAAUCAAGCCAUUCUCCAAUUGAUAAAUGCUCAAAGGAUAUGAACAGACAAUUUUCAGAAAUUGAAACUAUUUCCACUCAAAUGAAAGUGUUCCAAAUCACUAUUGAUCAGAGAAAUGCAAAUUAAGACAACUCUGAGAUACCACUACACACCUGUCAGAUUGGCUAGAAUGACAGAGAAAGAUAAUGCAGAAUGUUGGAGGGGAUGUGGGAAAACUGGGACAGUGAUGCAUUGUUGGUAGAGUUGUGAACUAAUCCAACCAUUCUGGAGAGCAAUCUGGAAUUAUGCCCAAAAAGUUAUCAAACUGUGCAUACCCUUUGAUCCAGCAGUGCUACUACUGGACUUAUAUCCCAAAAAGACACUAAAGAAGGGAGAGGGACCCACAUGUGUAAAAAGAACAUUUUUGUUUGUGACAGUCUUUUUUGUAGUGGCAAGAAACUGGAAACUGAUUGGAUGUCCAUCAAUUGGAGAAUGGCUUAAUAAAUCAUGGUAUAUGAAUGCUAUGAAACACUAUUGUUCUGUAAGAAAUGACCAGCAGGAUGAAUACAGAGAGGCUUGGAGAGACUUAGAUGAACUGAUGCUAAGUGAAAUGAGCAGACCAGGAGAUCAUUAUAUACUUCAACAAUGAUACUCUAUGAGGAUGUAUUCUGAUGGAAGUGGAUUUCUUCAACAAAGAGAAGAUCUAACUCAUUUUCAAUUGAUCAAUGACAGACAGAAGCAGCUACACCCAAAGAAGGAACACUGGGAAAUGAAUGCAAGCUGUGUGCAUUUUUGUUUUUCUUCCCAGUUAUUUCUACCUUCCGAAUCCAACUCUUCCUGUACAACAAGAGAACUGUUUGGUUCUGCACACAUAUAUUGUAUCUAGGAAAUACUGUGACAUAUUUAACACAUAUAGGACUGCUUGCCAUCUGGAGGAGGGGAUAGAGGGAGGGAGGGGAAAAGUUGGAAUAGAAGUGAGUGCAAGGGAUAAUGUUGUAAAAAAUUACCCAGGAAUGGGUUCUGUCAAUAAAAAGUCAUAAUUAUUAAAUAAAUAAAACACUAAAAAAGAAAAAAAGAAAAAAAAGAAAGUAUAGUGCCAAAAUAAGUGAACUUUUCCACAGAAUGUAAAACUUCUCCAUUUGCUGUAACCCAUUUGCUGUGCAUUGUUUGGAUGGAGUACCUGUGUUUUUGUGCUGUUAAUUGUUAAAUUAAAAUUAACACAAGCAACAAAGAAAAAAAAAAGAAAAA